UGAUCCUGGCUCAGGACGAACGCUGGCGGCGCGCCUAACACAUGCAAGUCGAACGAGAGAUGAAGAGCUUGCUUUUCAAAUCGAGUGGCGAACGGGUGAGUAACGCGUGAGGAACCUGCCUCAAAGAGGGGGACAACAGUUGGAAACGACUGCUAAUACCGCAUAAGCCCACGGCUCGGCAUCGAGCAGAGGGAAAAGGAGUGAUCCGCUUUGAGAUGGCCUCGCGUCCGAUUAGCUAGUUGGUGAGGUAACGGCCCACCAAGGCGACGAUCGGUAGCCGGACUGAGAGGUUGAACGGCCACAUUGGGACUGAGACACGGCCCAGACUCCUACGGGAGGCAGCAGUGGGGAAUAUUGCACAAUGGGGGAAACCCUGAUGCAGCGACGCCGCGUGGAGGAAGAAGGUCUUCGGAUUGUAAACUCCUGUUGUUGAGGAAGAUAAUGACGGUACUCAACAAGGAAGUGACGGCUAACUACGUGCCAGCAGCCGCGGUAAAACGUAGGUCACAAGCGUUGUCCGGAAUUACUGGGUGUAAAGGGAGCGCAGGCGGGAGAACAAGCUGGAAGUGAAAUCCAUGGGCUCAACCCAUGAACUGCUUUCAAAACUGUUUUUCUUGAGUAGUGCAGAGGUAGGCGGAAUUCCCGGUGUAGCGGUGGAAUGCGUAGAUAUCGGGAGGAACACCAGUGGCGAAGGCGGCCUACUGGGCACCAACUGACGCUGAGGCUCGAAAGUGUGGGUAGCAAACAGGAUUAGAUACCCUGGUAGUCCACACCGUAAACGAUGAUUACUAGGUGUUGGAGGAUUGACCCCUUCAGUGCCGCAGUUAACACAAUAAGUAAUCCACCUGGGGAGUACGAC
rnacentral:rRNA from 1 species